rnacentral:rRNA from 1 species
GACGAACGCUGGCGGCGUGCUUAACACAUGCAAGUCGAACGGAAAGGCCCUGCUUGUGGGGGGUGCUCGAGUGGCGAAGGGGUGAGACACACGGGAGUAACCUGCCCUAGACUUGGGGAUAACUUCAGGAAAGUGGGGCAAAUAGCGGAUAGGAGCUCCUGCUGCAGGGUGGGGGAUGGAUAUUUUGGGCGGUUGGGGAUGGACUCGCGGCUUAUCAGCUGGUUGGGGGGGUAGUGGCUUACCCAGGCUUUGACGGGUAGCCGGCCUGAGAGGGUGACCGGCCACAGUGGGACUGAGAUACGGCCCAGACUCCUACGGGAGGCAGCAGUGGGGAAUAGUGCACAAUGGGCGGAAGCCUGAUGCAGCAGCGCCGCGUGCGGGAUGACGGCCUUCGGGUUGUAAACCGCUUUCGCCUGUGACGAAGCGUGAGUGACGGUAAUGGGUAAAGAAGCACCGGCUAACUACGUG